rnacentral:rRNA from 1 species
GGGUCAGUAGGUUGUUCGUGCCACCGGUACGUACUGGUCUCACUGAUUCCUCCUUCCUGAAGAACCGUAAUGCCAUUAAUUUGGUGUUGCGGGGAAACAGGACUGUUACUUUGAAAAAAUUAGAGUAUUUAAAGCAAGCUAACGCUUGAAUACAUUAGCAUGGAAUAAUGAAAUAGGACGAUCGAUCCUAUUUUGUUGGUUUCUAGGAUUGACGUA